AAUAUCAGUUGACCACAUAUAAGUGGGUCUAUGUUUAGACUCUAUCACUUUCUCCCAGACACAGGCCUCCUCUGUGGGCAGAUGUUUGGCCAUAGCCUUGACUGAGAUGGACCUGUCUGCUGGUGGUUACCUGGUGAUCGGACUGCGUGCCUGGGCUGCCUUGUGACUCUGACUCGAGGAUUGGCGUCCCGAGACGGGAGCUAGAUCUUGGUUGAAGCACCGUAGGAACCAGCCUGGUCGCAAAGCAGAGCACUCAAGAGCUGCACCUAUGCAGGAACGGGCAGGUUACCACCCAGGGGCCAAAUCCAGCCCGCCUCUUGUUUAUGUGCAGUCCACAAGCUACAAAUUCUCUUUACAUUUUUUAAUGUUGGAAAAAAUCCAAAGAAGAAUAUUCUGUGGCAUAUGAAAAUUAUAUGAAUAGUUUCAGUG